rnacentral:tRNA from 1 species
GGGGCGUUGGUGAACGCGGCUAUCACUCUUGGCUUUUACCCUUGAAUACCGGGAUCGAGACCCGGACGCCCCA